rnacentral:rRNA from 1 species
GGACAACCUACCCUGGCAACAUGGACAACCCCGGGAAACUGGGAUUAGUCCGUGAUAGGUCAUCUCAUCUGGAAGGAGAGAUGGCUUAAAGGGGUGCGAGAGCUUCUUUCUUGCACUUGCUCCAGGAUGGGACUGCGGCCGAUCAGGCUGUUGGUGGGGUAAUGGCCCACCAAACCUGUAACCGGUACGGGCCUUGAGAGAGGGGGCCCGGAGAUGGACACUAAGAGAAGGGUCCAGGUCCUACGGGGCGCAGCAGGCGCGAAACCUUCACAAUGCGCGAAAGCGUGAUGAGGUUAAUCCGAGGUGGUCCCCGCUGAGGGGAUCUUUUGUCGGCUGUAAAAAGGCCGGUGAAUAAGGGGAGGGCAAGUCUGGUGUCAGCCGCCGCGGUAAUACCAGCUCCUCGAGUGGUCGGGGCGAUUAUUGGGCCUAAAGCAUCCGUAGCCUGUUCUGUAGGUCUGCUGUUAAAUCCAACGGCUUAACCGUUGGCCCGCAGCAGAUACCGCAGGACUAGGAGGCGGGAGAAGUGGACGGUACUCCACGUGUAGGGGUAAAAUCCUUUGAUCCGUGGAAGACCACCAGUGGCGAAGGCGGUCCACCAGAACGCGCUCGACGGUGAGGGAUGAAAGCUGGGGGAGCGAACCGGAUUAGAUACCCGGGUAGUCCCAGCCGUAAACGAUGCAAGCUAGAUGAUCCAAUCGCAAAUCGCGAUUGGAGUGUCGCAGGGAAGCCGUUAA